GGUUUCAUGGUGUAAUGGUGAGCACUCUUGACUCUGAAUCCAGUGAUCCGAGUUCAAAUCUCGGUGGAACCU
rnacentral:tRNA from 1 species